UACGGAGGGUGCGAGCGUUAAUCGGAAUUACCGGGCGUAAAGCGCACGCAGGCGGUUUGUUAAGCUAGAUGUGAAAGCCCCGGGCUCAACCUGGGAUGGUCAUUUAGAACUGGCAGACUAGAGUCUUGGAGAGGGGAGUGGAAUUCCAGGUGUAGCGGUGAAAUGCGUAGAUAUCUGGAGGAACAUCAGUGGCGAAGGCGACUCCCUGGCCAAAGACUGACGCUCAUGUGCGAAAGUGUGGGUAGCGAACAGG
rnacentral:rRNA from 1 species